GACGAACGCUGGCGGCGUGCUUAACACAUGCAAGUUGAACGGGCGAUAUUGGAAGCUUGCUGAAGAUAUCGUUAGUAGCGGACGGGUGAGUAAUGCAUGAGGACCUGCCUGCCGGAGGGGGACAACAGUUGGAAACGGCUGCUAAUACCCCGUAUGCCGAGAGGUGAAAGGAAUGGAGACAUUCCGCCGGGAGAGGGACUCAUGUCCUAUCAGCUGGUUGGUGAGGUAACGGCUCACCAAGGCGACGACGGGUAGCCGGCCUGAGAGGGCGACCGGCCACACUGGAACUGAGAGACGGUCCAGACUCCUACGGGAGGCAGCAGUGAGGAAUAUUGGUCAAUGGACGAGAGUCUGAACCAGCCAAGUCGCGUGAAGGAAGACGGCCCUACGGGUUGUAAACUUCUUUUGUAAGGGAAUAAAUAGUCUUACGCGCUAAGACGUUGCAGGUACCUUACGAAUAAGGAUCGGCUAACUCCGUGCCAGCAGCCGCGGUAAUACGGAGGAUCCGAGCGUUAUCCGGAUUUAUUGGGUUUAAAGGGUGCGCAGGCGGCAUGUUAAGUCGGCGGUGAAAUUUUGCAGCUCAACUGUAAAAGAGCCUUCGAAACUGGCAAGCUUGAGUGUGGAUGAAGUAGGCGGAAUUUGUGGUGUAGCGGUGAAAUGCAUAGAUAUCACAAAGAACACCGAUUGCGCAGGCAGCUUACUAAACCAUAACUGACNNNCAUGCACGAAGGCGUGGGGAUCAAACAGGAUUAGAUACCCUGGUAGUCCACGCAGUAAACGAUGAUUACUGGCUGUUUGCGAUACAAUGUAAGCGGCUGAGCGAAAGCGUUAAGUAAUCCACCUGGGGAGUACGUUCGCAAGAAUGAAACUCAAAGGAAUUGACGGGGGCCCGCACAAGCGGAGGAACAUGUGGUUUAAUUCGAUGAUACGCGAGGAACCUUACCCGGGCUUGAAAUGCAUCUGACGUAUUCGGAAACGGAUAUUCCCUACGGGGCAGAUGUGUAGGUGCUGCAUGGUUGUCGUCAGCUCGUGCCGUGAGGUGUCGGCUUAAGUGCCAUAACGAGCGCAACCCUCAUCGUCAGUUACCAUCAGGUAAAGCUGGGGACUCUGGCGAGACUGCCAUCGUAAGAUGCGAGGAAGGUGGGGAUGACGUCAAAUCAGCACGGCCCUUACGUCCGGGGCGACACACGUGUUACAAUGGGUGGUACAAAGGGCAGCUACCUGGCGACAGGAUGCUAAUCUCCAAAACCACUCUCAGUUCGGAUCGGAGUCUGCAACUCGACUCCGUGAAGCUGGAUUCGCUAGUAAUCGCGCAUCAGCCACGGCGCGGUGAAUACGUUCCCGGGCCU
rnacentral:rRNA from 1 species